rnacentral:tRNA from 1 species
UCCUGGCUAGCUCAGUUGGUAGAGCGCUCCAUUCGAAAUGGAGCGCUCCACCAACUGGAAAUCAAAAUGGAGAGGUCCCUUGUUCAAUGCCAGGACCAGGUA